GUAGAAGAUAAGAAGUCAACAUGCAGUCAGCAGUAUUAUGUAUAUGUUUAACUCUACUCAUAGUAGUUGGUGUUUCAGAUGCCUUGUCAUGGAGGGCCCCAGCCCCCUCAAGAAUAUCACCAUAUAUGUGUAGAACAAGGGGACCACCUUGUGACAUCGACUGUCCUGAAGGCCGAGAACUUGAUUCACGAGGAUGCCCGACUUGUAGAUGUAAACCCGCCAUACAUCCACCGUUUAAGCCCGUAUGUGGACCAGUUUGCCUCAUCUUCUGUGAAUUUGGCAAUGUUCCAGACGCCAAGGGAUGUCCAACCUGCCAAUGCAAUCCACCACCAAAGCCAGUCUGUGGACCAGUUUGUAAAAUAGGAUGUCCUUUCGGAAAUGUUUUAGAUUCCAAUGGAUGUCCAAUCUGUCGUUGUAAAACUAGCCCAGAUGAAUUCCCACGCUGUAACGGAAUUGGUAAAUGUCCAAGAUUUUGUAGAAAUGGAUAUGAGGUAACCAGCCAAGGUUGUACCACCUGUAGAUGUAAAAGAAUCAUAACUCCUAGACCAUGUCGACAGGUUAAUUGCUAUAAUCGAUGUCCCCGAGGAUUUGCCAAGGAUUCAAAUGGCUGUAAAACUUGUAGAUGUAUCAGAAAUUACUUUCCUCUCAGACCACACAGAGAAAUUGCUUAAAUGGCUUUAUUAAAACAGAUCGAACAGACGAAAUAAUAAUCCACAGAUAGAAGCCACAUAUAGAGUACAACCCAGUUUAUACAUCUAGCAUAUUGAAUUGAUUCUGAAACCCGAUGAUUGAUGAUUGAACCCAUUAACAGAAACAGAUCUAACAGAAGAACUAAACCGCCAAGAAGUUUAACAUUCUAAAAUAAUAAGAUACUAGUCUAAACCCACAAAUAUAGUCCAACUAGUUUAACACUCUAGAAUAAUAAACCUACAAAUAUAUAAUAAGAUAAGAUAAUAAUCUAAACCUAUAAACAGAGUACAAUCAGUUAACAAUUCAAGAAUAGUUAAUUCUUGAUUCGUAAAAUUGCUCUCCAGAUAAAUCAUCGUCCAAUAACUAACAGAUUUUUACUUCAUGUAAGUUUGUCGAUCGCGAAAUCCAACACUACUUACAGUAACGUCUACAAUUACCAUAGAGAUGUUGAAAUUCUUAAACACGUUAAACAUGACUCUUAUUAAUUAAGCAUUUAUUUAAAUUAUAAACCGUUUUAUAUACGAUUAUAUGUAUAUGUAUGUAGUUGUAUAUAUGUUAUGAAUGAUAUUUUGUUGAA